GCCUGGGUGGCUCAGUCGGUUAAGCGUCUGACUUCGGCUCAGGUCGUGAUCUCGCGGUUCGUGAGUUCGAGCCCCGCCUCGGGCU
rnacentral:tRNA from 1 species